rnacentral:sRNA from 1 species
ACACGAGAAGGGAGGUGGUCCGAUACAUGAGUGGUUUACGGACGCGUGAGGUGACGGCGAGCUAGCCGUCCGGUCUGACCGGGUCAGCACCUGCUGACCCACCCAUGGCGGACCGGUCGUAGCGGCCGGCUCAAUCCAACGCCAACACCCGAACCCGCGGGCGCCGGAGAGUCCAUCCGGCCGGGGCUUCGACCACCUCCUCGGAGGGAAGCCUCGCCCAGCCCGCGGGUUCGUCCACG